rnacentral:lncRNA from 1 species
CUGUAGCUUCCUCAGAGCAUGGAUGCAUAUAUUCAGGUGUUUGGUUGUACAGCUUUCACUUACAUGCCCAACAAUGAGAAUAGAAGGUUGGCAGGCAUGCUGACAUUUAUCUAGAGGUUCAUUCACAUGUUCACAUGCAGGUGAUGUUUCAUGCACUGUAGAAGUUGAACGUGCCAUUCCAAUUCUAAAAAAAGCAUAUGGUGACAGUAUGCUCAAGGUGUUGCAUGUUUCGAAUGUAGGUUCCUAAACAACCUGACAACUUUCAAUGUGGUUUCUAUGUAAUGAAAUACAUGAAGGAAAUAGUUGAGUGUGAUGGUUCUUAGACGAUUGGCUCGUUGCAUUCAUUGGUAUUUGUUUUCAAUAAAAUUUAUUAAGUAUUUGGUGGUUGACUAUCACAUUGUAAUACAUAUUUUUUACUCACAGUUCGAUAAACCAAGUUACUCCAAAGAGGACAUUGAUGACGUGCGUAAAGAAUGGGCAGACUGUGUACAAGAUCAUAUACUUGAGUAAAGAGGUAAUGAAUGAUCUUUAUAAUUUUGCAAUACGUCGUGCAUGUGUUGCUACAUAUAUUUCUACAUUUCUUAUAUCAAAUUAUUAUAAUUUAUGUGUUCUACUUAUUAUUGAUAUUAGGUUAUAUAUGAUAUGGUGCGUUAUUGAUUCUAUGUAUUCAUUGAUUCUAUGUGUAGCUAUAUAUUUUUUUGCUACGUGAAGUAAUGCAUUUUUUCUUUAUUUUUGUCCAUUUAUUUUAUGCAGGUAUGACGUUGCUAGUUUGGAUGCAAAGUGGAAAAAUGUCAUAUACACUUGAAAGUUUUAGUUGACGCUUAGUGAAGAACAUUGCUUAGUUGCAUAUUUUGGUUGGUAGAAUUAUGUUUAAAGUACAAUGCAAAAAAUUCUAGUCCGUUGAACUAAUUCCCGUUUCUAGAUUAUUGUAAUGACUCUUGAAUAUUAAACUUUAUUUAAAUUUAUGUGUUUUGAUUUGUGUUUAUUAUU